rnacentral:lncRNA from 1 species
ACAAAGUCUAAUCAAAUUUUAAAUCAAAUCUUAAUAAAAAAAAAAAAAAACCUAAUAAAAUUCUAAUAAACCUCUAAAUUAAUUCUAAACAAUUUUUAAAAAAAUCUAAAUUUCAAUCAAAUCCUAAUCAAAUCCUAGACCAAAACUUCAUGAAAUCUUAACCAAUCUCUAAAAAAAUCCUAAAUCUUAGAUUAAAACUUAUUAAAUCCUAAAUCCUAAAUGAGUUCUUAACAAAUCUUUUUGUAGAUUGAAACCUCAACAACAAAUAAUUGAAUCAUUGAUAUCAAUUCAAAAUCUCCUCACUUUUCAACAAUUCAACUAAAAACAAGUACAAAAAAAAUACAAUCAAUAGCACUUAGUAAUUGAAAGAAAUUUAAGAUAAUUUGUUUGGAUGUUGGACAGCUUUUUUCUCUAAUCUUUAUAUUGAGCUCUCAAUGCCAAUAUCUCCUUCUUAAACUAUUAAAUUGCUCUGAAAAUUCUCAUAAAUUUUGGAAAUUAUAUCUACUAUCUACAAAAUUAAUUUUUACUUCAAUCUAACUAGCAGAUUGCUAAAGAUCUUAAAAACUCUCACUAACCC